rnacentral:tRNA from 1 species
GCGCGGGUGCUGUAACCGGUAGCCAGGCAUGCUUGAGGUGCAUGUGCCCGUAAGGGCGUGGAGGUUCAAGUCCUCUCCCGCGCA